rnacentral:lncRNA from 1 species
GAACAUCGGCCUCUUUAAUUCUAAGCUGAUGAUAUCCCGAGCGCAAAUCGAUCUUAGAAAACACCUUUGCUCCCUGAAGUUGAUCAAACAAGUCAUCGAUGCGCGGAAGUGGAUAUUUAUUACGCACUGUAACUUUAUUCAACUGCCUAUAGUCAAUGCAGAGUCUAAGAGUACCAUCCUUUUUCUUAACAAACAACACCGGAGCUCCCCACGGAGAUACACUAGGUCUAAUAAACUCUUUAUCCACCAAUUCUUGCAGUUGAAUCUUAAGUUCCUUUAAUUCAGCUGGAGCCAUCCUAUAUGGUGCUAUAGAUAUAGGAGCCGUCCCAGGGACUAAAUCAAUAGAGAACUCAAUCUCUCUAUGAGGUGGCAUCCCUGGAAGUUCAUCUGGAAAUACAUCUGAAAACUCUUGGACUACUGGAAUAUCCUCCAAUCUCAACUCCCGAACUCCAGUGGCUAUUACGUAUGCCAGAUAAGCUGAGCAACCUUUCCUUAGUAAGCGUCUUGCAUCAAUGGCCGAUAUGACACAUGAGGGUAAAAUUCUACGCUCACCACAAAAUUUCACCUCAGUUUCUCUUGGUUUGUUGAACACAACUUCCUUUUUAAAACAAUCCACUGUAGCAUGGUGAGACGCAAGCCAAUCCAUGCCCAAAAUGGCAUCAAAAUCUUGAAUGUCUAGAAUAAUCAAAUUCGCCUUAAAUUCAUGCUCGCCCAAUCGAAUCAUGCUAUCUUGAUACACCUUUUCAGCAAGUAAUGACCCUCCGGUAGGUGUACUAACAACUAAACCAUAAUCCAGCAAUUCAGGCUCUCUCUCUAGAUGCAUACUAAAUGUGCGAGAAACAAAAGAAUGCGUGGAUCCAGGAUCAAUAAGAAUAUGAGCAUCAUGACCAAAGAUAGAUAAUGUACCCAUAAUAACUUCUGGUGUAGCAUGAGCCUCCUGCUGUGUCAAGGCAAAAACUCGAGCCUGAGUACGAGGUCGACCAGGUUGACCUCUCUGACUUGGAAAAGUGGUCUGACUCCUCGAUAUAGAACCCCCUGUCUGCAUACCCCUCUGACCCGGAACUGGUCCAACAUGAGAUUGAUACUGUGGGGCUGCCCCUCGAGCAGAAUUGUCACCCUGAGAUAAAGUAGGGCAUAAUCUCUUAAUAUGUCCAGGUUGUCCACAUAAAUAACACACAUUGUCUCCGAUACGGCACUGGCCCUGAUGGUUCCUACCACACGUAGGGCAAGGAGUCUGUUGUAUACUCCUACGGGGUCCUUCGCUAUUCCUGUCAUACUGCCCCUGAGUCCUAACAUUACUCCCCACUGAAGGCUGCGCCGAACCUGGUUUAUUGAACACAACUUCCUUUUUAAAACAAUCCACUGUAGCAUGGUGAGACACAAGCCAAUCCAUGCCCAAAAUGGCAUCAAAAUCUUGAAUGUCUAGAAUAAUCAAAUUCGCCUUAAAUUCAUGCUCGCCCAAUCGAAUCAUGCUAUCUUGAUACACCUUUUCAGCAAGUAAUGACCCUCCGGUAGGUGUACUAACAACUAAACCAUAAUCCAGCAAUUCAGGCUCUCUCUCUAGAUGCAUACUAAAUGUGCGAGAAACAAAAGAAUGCGUGGAUCCAGGAUCAAUAAGAAUAUGAGCAUCAUGACCAAAGAUAGAUAAUGUACCCAUAAUAACUUCUGGUGUAGCAUGAGCCUCCUGCUGUGUCAAGGCAAAAACUCGAGCCUGAGUACGAGGUCGACCAGGUUGACCUCUCUGACUUGGAAAAGUGGUCCAGGUUGUCCACAUAAAUAACACACAUUGUCUCCGAUACGGCAUUGGCCCUGAUGGUUCCUACCACACGUAGGGCAAGGAGUCUGUUGUAUACUCCUACGGGGUCCUCCGCUAUUCCUGUCAUACUGCCCCUGAGUCCUAACAUUACUCCCCACUGAAGGCUGCGCCGAACUGUAACUAGCGGAUUGUCUCUGAUCUCCCCUGCUACUCAUACUCUGAUUCCU